rnacentral:rRNA from 1 species
AGUGAACGCUGGCGGUAGGCCUAACACAUGCAAGUCGAACGGCAGCACAGUAAGAGCUUGCUCUUCCGGGUGGCGGGUGGCGGACGGGUGAGGUAAGUAUCGGAAUCUACUUUUUCGGGGGGGAUAACGAAGGGAAGCUUACGCUAAUACCGCAUACGAUCUACGGGUGAAAGCAGGGGAUAUUCGGGCCUUUCGGGAUUGAAUGAGCGGAUGUGGUGUUGGUUAGUUGGUGGGGUAAAGGCCCAGCAUGGCGCGGAUACGUAGCUGGUCGGAGAGGAUGGUCGGCCACACGGGAACUGGACCACGGCCCAGACCCCUACGGGAGGCAGCAGUGGGGAAUAUUGGACAAUGGGCGCAAGCCUGAUCCAGCCAUACCGCGUGGGUGAAGAAGGCCUUCGGGUUGUAAAGCCCUUUUGUUGGGAAAGAAAAGCAGCAGGUUAAUACCCCGCUGUUCUGACGGUACCCAAAGAAUAAGCACCGGCUAACUUCGUG